rnacentral:rRNA from 1 species
UACGUAGGGGGCUAGCGUUGUCCGGAAUCAUUGGGCGUAAAGCGCGUGUAGGCGGCCCGGUAAGUCCGCUGUGAAAGUCGGGGGCUCAACCCUCGGAUGCCGGUGGAUACUGUCGGGCUCGAGUACGGAAGAGGCGAAUGGAAUUCCUGGUGUAAGCGGUGAAAUGCGCAGAUAUCAGGAAGAACACCCGUGGCGAAGGCGGUUCUCUGGGACGGUACUGACGCUGAGACGCGAAAGCGUGGGGAGCGAACAGG